UUUUUAUCGCAUCAAAUACAUUGGGGGCCAUUUAAAUCAUCAAAAUCUCACGGCUAUUCAAUAUUUCAAAAUCUCAUAGAUAUUUUUAAAAUCUCGCAUUAUUAAUUUAAAUAUACUUUUAAAAUGUCAGAUUUGAAUGAGGCUGUCAAAUUAGAAAUAUUUCUAUAUAUUUUCAUUAUGAAGUAAAUUUUUAACAAUAUAUUUUUUAUUUCAGAAAUAUUUUAGCUCAAAUUAUAAUGAUAUAUAUGACUUCCUAAAAUGUUCUAAAGUUCCAGUGAAUGUUAAUAAGGCUAACUUUAUUAGAAAGAUAACCGCCUUCAAGAUUAUAGAAAAUCAAUUAUUCUAUGGGGAAAAAGAAAGAAAAGUUAUACUGACAGGAGAUGAACAAAAAAUAAUAAUUAAAACAAUACAUGAGGGGGGUGUAUCUUCAGUUGCAUGUAUUGCUAUGGGAGAGCAUCUGGGGAUUAAUAAAACUAAUCAAAUAAUAGCUGAAAACUUUUAUUGGUUGGGGAGCAAUAAAAGUGUUAGAAAGUUUAUCAAAUCCUGUGAAGUUUGUCAAAAAUCAAGCAGUCGUUUUGAUAAAACCUCAAAUGUUUUGCACAAUAUUAAAGUUGUGCCAAAGUCUUGGUAUCAAAUUGGCAUCGAUUUAAUCCAGAUGCCAGAAUCCAAGGAAAAAUAGAAAUAUAUUUUAUGUACCAUAUGCUAUUUUUCAAAAUAUUUAUUGGCUAUUCCUAUUAAGAAUAAAACAGCUAAAUCUGUUGUAAAAGCCUUAUACAUCAUUGUCAACACCCACCAAAGCUAUGAAAUUCAGAUAAAUGAUCAAGGCAGGGAAUUCUGUAACAAUGUUUGUACAGAAUUCCAUAAAUAUUGUGGGAUUGUCCAGAGAAUAACCUCAGCCUACAACCCACAAGCAAAUGGUGGUUGAGCGAGUUAACAGAACAAUUCAGAACCGAAUAGCAAAAUCGGUUUUGGAUAUCCCAACUGACUGGCCAGAUGCUUUGGUAGGGGUGUGUGGCACCUACAAUUCUUGCAUACACUCUUCUAUGGGAUUUUCGCCCUAUGAACUGAUGUAUGGUCAGAAACCACGACGCCCUCUUACAUUACAAAACAAAAUUGAGGAUGUAUUAGCCUUACCAGAGGUUAUGGCAAAAAUAACAAUUGAUCAUUGUUUAAAAGAAGAGUUAGAAAUUAAAAUGGCUCAUCUUAAAAAAAUAACGGAACUGGCUAUACAAAAUACUGGUAUAGCCCAGUUUAAACAAAAAAAAGGAUUACGAAAAAAGAUCAAAUGGUUCUAAAUCUUUUAUUUUGGGACAAAAGGUUCUUGCUUGGAACCAUAAAAGGUCAGAUGGAAAGGGGGGAAAAUGUUGAACCCCUGGAUAGGCCCUUAUUUGAUCAAUAAAAUAUUUG